rnacentral:rRNA from 1 species
CGGGGUACACGAGCGGCGAACGGGUGAGUCACACGUGAGCAACCUGCCCCCGACUCCGGGAUAAGCGGUGGAAACGCCGUCUAAUACCGGAUACGACCGGCCACCUCAUGGCGGCCGGUGGAAAGUUUUCUCGGUUGGGGAUGGGCUCGCGGCCUAUCAGCUAGUUGGUGGGGUAAAGGCCUACCAAGGCGAUUACGGGUAGCCGGCCUGAGAGGGCGACCGGCCACACUGGGACUGAGACACGGCCCAGACUCCUGCGGGAGGCAGCAGUGGGGAAUAUUGCGCAAUGGGCGAAAGCCUGACGCAGCGACGCCGCGUGGGGGAUGACGGCCUUCGGGUUGUAAACCUCUUUUACCACCAACGCAGGCUCCCAGUUCUCUGGGGGUUGACGGUAGGUGGGGAAUAAGGACCGGCUAACUACGUGCCAGCAGCCGCGGUAAUACGUAGGGUCCGAGCGUUGUCCGGAAUUAUUGGGCGUAAAGAGCUCGUAGGCGGCGUGUCGCGUCUGCUGUGAAAGACCGGGGCUUAACUCCGGUUCUGCAGUGGAUACGGGCAUGCUAGAGGUAGGUAGGGGAGACUGGAAUUCCUGGUGUAGCGGUGAGAUGCGCAGAUAUCAGGAGGAACAGCGGUGGCGAAGGCGGGUCUCUGGGCCUUACCUGACGCUGAGGAGCGAAAGCAUGGGGAGCGAACAGGAGUAGAUACCCUGGUAGUCCAUGCCGUAAACGUUGGGGCGCUAGGUGUGGGGACUUUCCACGGUUUCCGCGCCGUAGCUAACGCAUUAAGCGCCCCGCCUGGGGAGUACGGCCGCAAGGCUAAACCUCAAAGGAUGUGACG